rnacentral:rRNA from 1 species
CCCCCUCGUACCUUUUGCAUCAUGAAUUAGCUAGAAUUACCCAGGCAAAGAGAACUUUAGUCUGGAGCCCCGAAACUAAAUGAGCUACUUCAAGACAGCCUAUUGUAGGGCAAACCCGUCUCUGUGGCAAAAGAGUGGGAAGAGCUUCAAGUAGCGGUGACAGACCUAUCGAAUUUAGUUAUAGCUGGUUGCCUGGAAAGUGAAUACAAGUUCAGCCUCUCGGCUUCUCCAUAAACCAAGAGAGUUAGUCAAAGGGGGUACAGCCCCUUUGACCAAAGAUACAACUUUUUCAGGUGGGUAUGGAUCAAAAUUUAAUACAAGGAAAGAUCUCUGGGUGGGCCUAAAAGCAGCCAUCCCCACAGAAAGCGUUAAAGCUCAGAUAUCUUAUACUGAUAACAAUCUCCUAACCCCCUAAUUUUACCAGGCCGUCCCAUAAAACUAUGGGAGCGAUUAUGCUAGUAUGAGUAAUAAGAAUGGCCAUUCUCCUUGCACGCGUGUAAUUCGGAGCAGACCCACUACCGAACAUUAACGGCCCCAAGAAAAGAGGGCACUGAGCAGUUACAAGAAAACCUCCCACCGUUAUCCCCACACAGGUGUGCCCAUAAGGAAAGACUUAAAGAAAGAGAAGGAACUCGGCAAACAUGCCUCGCCUGUUUACCAAAAACAUCGCCUCUUGCACGAAUAAGAGGUCCUGCCUGCCCUGUGACUAUAUGUUCAACGGCCGCGGUAUUUUGACCGUGCGAAGGUAGCGUAAUCACUUGUCUCUUAAAUGGGGACCUGUAUGAAUGGCAAGACGAGGGCUUAACUGUCUCCUCUCUCUGGUCAAUGAAAUUGAUCUCCCCGUGCAGAAGCGGGGAUUUACACAUAAGACGAGAAGACCCUGUGGAGCUUUAGACACUAAAAUAGAUCAUGUCCAUCCCCCACUUAUAAGUGGUAAAACUUAAUGACCCCUAUUCUAAUGUCUUCGGUUGGGGCGACCGCGGAGAAAUAAAGAUCCUCCACGCGGAAUGAGAGCACUCUUACACCCAAGAGUUCCCACUCUAAUGUAACAGAACUUCUGACCAAAUGAUCCGGCAAAGCCGAUUAACGAACCAAGUUACCCCAGGGAUAACAGCGCAAUCCUCUCUUAGAGACCAUAUCGACGAGUGGGUUUACGACCUCGAUGU